UGCCCAAGGAGUCGGUGAAGAUCCUCCGGU
rnacentral:piRNA from 1 species